rnacentral:tRNA from 1 species
GCGGAUGUAGCUCAGUUGGUAGAGCGCAACCUUGCCAAGGUUGAGGUCGCAGGUUCGAAUCUUGUCAUCCGCUCCA